rnacentral:SRP_RNA from 1 species
GCUGGGCGCGCGGUGGCACAUGCCUGUAGUCCCAGCUACUUGGGAGGCCGAGGCAGGAGGAUCCCUUGAGUCCGGGAGUUCUGCGCUGUAGUGUGCUAUGCCAAUCAGGUGUCCACACUAAGUUUGGCAUCAAUAUGUUGGCCUCUAGGGACUACCAGGUUACCUAAGGAGGGGUGAACUGGCACAGGUCAAAACUCCAGUGCUGAGCAGUAGAGGGAUCACCACUGCACUCUAGCCUGGACAACUAAGCAAGACUCCAUCUCU